AUUUCCGUUCUCCAAAUUCUGUAAUCUUUCUUCUUUGUUAUGCAAUACAAUUAAAUCUUCCUUCAUGCAAUUUGUGUUCGCUUCAAUCUUCUUAUUUUAUCCAUUUUAAUUUAUGCCAAAACUCUUCUUUGAUUAAUUAAAUAAAUGCUUUUUAAAUUUAAAUACCUAUCUUUUAGUUAAUUUCAAUAAAAAACAUUCUCCGGUAGACUAGAGAAUCCAUCAACAUCCUCAAAAUAAUGUUUUUCUUCCAUCGUUCAAAAGUCGAUUUUGAAUCCGAGUGAAUGUUCUAAUUUUUAUGCAACUCCAAUCGCCUCCCUAUGGAUCGACCUCUUACAACCGCUAUUCUUCGAGU
rnacentral:lncRNA from 1 species